AGAGUUUGAUCCUGGCUCAGAACGAACGCUGGCGGCAUGCCUAACACAUGCAAGUCGAACGCGUGGCUUCGGCCACGAGUGGCGCACGGGUGAGUAGCGCGUGGGAACCUGCCUUUGGUUCGGAAUAACCGCGGGAAACUGCGGCUAAUACCGGAUGCUCCCUACGGGGGAAAGAUUUAUCGCCAAAGGAGGGGCCCGCG
rnacentral:rRNA from 1 species